UUUUUGAGAGAAGAGCGCGAGAAAUAAAUUUCUAUUCACCAGUGACGAGCAGUUUGUAAGAGAAUAUGGUUAGAGAGGCAAUCUUUCUGAUAUUAUUUUCUAUUUUGUCGAUGGUGAUGGGCGAAGGAGAGAUAGAUGAUAAUAGGACUACUACUUUACAACCUGACAGUGCCGCCAGUUCUCUGUCAGGAUUGUGGGCUUUGUCCCUAACAAUGGCGAUUGUUCUUGUGCGUCAUUUCCGCUGAGUUGCAGCAUUCUGAAUCAGUGUACAAAUUGAUGUUAUACAAUCAAUAAACCAAAUUUUUCGG
rnacentral:sRNA from 1 species